CUGGGCUCAAACCCCAUACUACACACACAUGCAUGUGCACACAUACAGAAAAGUAGAAGGCAGUUACUUUUAAUGAACAUUGUCUUACAUGUUGAUUCAAAAUGGUAGAACCCUUCAACAUUUAUUCUUUUAUUUAUUUAUUUCGGUACCAGGGAUCAAACUCAGGUCCUUGCGCUUGCAAGGCAGGCGGUGGAACCACUGAGCUAAAUCUCCAGCCCCAGUGUUUAUUCUCAGAUGAAAUCACAGGUGGAUUAAAAAUUUAGACCUCAACUUUCUAAUCUGAAAAGUGAUGAAAGAAAAGAACACACUAGAUGUACCUUCAUAAAAACAUGAAAGCAGUUGUUUAGAAGACUGAAGAAAUACAUGAGAUCUUUCCUACUUGCUGUUAGAAUGUUCUUCUGAUAUUGAACAUCAGGUGAUGGCACCUGAAAAUGGGAAGAAAAGAUGUUUGGGAAUGCCAUCUGCCAGAAUUGUGGGCAACAGGAAUGAAGGAAGAGUCAGAACAUCUUUCCUGGUGUCCCCGCUACACACACACAUAUAAUUAUAAGGCAAGAAAAUAGCAUUUUUUGUUGCCAAGCUGAAUGAUAAAAGAACAUGUCAACUUUUUAUUCAUCUCUUAGAAAUCCUUGGUCUUUGUAGAAUAGAUUUGAUAAGAAAAUGAGUAAAUCAGGCUGGGGAUGUAGCUUAGUGGCACCGCACCUGCCUUGCAAGUGCAAGGUCCUGAGUUCGGGAGAAAAAAGAAAAUGAGUAAAUCCUUUUCCUCUUUAAUUUGGUGUUUUUGUAGUACAGAAGGCUCAGUCUUUGCCUCUUGGUACAGAACAUAAGUGAAUUGAAUUCUGAGCAUCAGAACAGAAGGUUUUCAAUUUAUUUCAUUAUGUCAGAAUCUCUUGAACUUAAUGUAGCAACCUUGAUCUCUGCUUUUGAAUUCAGUAAAUAUGAGGUUAAUGACAGAUUUGAAUGGAGGAAACUACGCUGUUGUGUUUUGUCUGCUGCAUUCCACAUUAUCACUGGGAAAAUGAUUUAGAUGAGAUCUAAAUCACUGAAAAGACUUCAAGAAUUUAGUAGUAGUAUAUUGUAUCCUCAGUCACAAAAUCUCUGGCCAUCCUCAUGCAGAGGCAAGCAGUAGCCUUUAUAGAAGAUUUGGGCUGAAUUCUUUUCAACUAAAAAUGAAACAAAGUCAUUGCUUCUUGAAACUGACAUGGCACUGAGAAAACAGUGUUUGUUGGAUCUCAAGAUUGUCGUUUUUGCCAAAGAUUAGUGGUAGUAGUUAGUGAUGGUUGUCUUUGGAAUUUUGAAAGCCAUUUUCCCCUGAAUUUGGGCUUCUGAAAAUUAAAUUUUACAGACUCUGAUAAAUGUUCUUGGUCUAAGAGUUGAAAGACUUGCUUUGUUUCUUUUCUUGUGGUACAAGGAAUCAAACGUAGGGCUUCAUGUGUCUUAGGCAGGCACUGUGCCACUGAGCUAUACCCCUGGUACAAGAUAACGGGUUUCCUAGUUCUAUUCUAUUUUCUGAUUCCUGUUCCAGGGCCAGUGAACAAGUCCACUCACUGUGUCUGGGCCAGUUCUUUAGCAGUUAAGGCAUAGGGAGUCAGUUACAGUCUUCUUACAUGUGGCAUAAUCAUGAAACUUUGAAAAAAGGAAUCAGUUCUUACCUGGGAUACUAAGAUGUCAUUCAGCAUUAGUUUUCUGCUAUUUGUUUUCUUUUCUUUUCUUCUAGUACCAGGGAUCUAACUCAGGAUCUUGUGUUUGCCAGGC